rnacentral:lncRNA from 1 species
UAGAACGUCUCAUAGUCGAGUCUUUUCCUGGUGGGAGUUGGACUUGGAGUCAACUGUCUCAUAUAGAUCCAGCUGUAGGUCAGUCCCACUUAUACACGAACGAGGGCGACAUCUAUUCGAGCCUCCCUUACAUCUACUUGAACUAGGGCUAGCCUGAAGGUGCAGUCUAUCUACAGGUCCCCCCAACACAUUCAAACCAGAGUCAGCCCAUUCCCGGCCGAGCGAGUCCAUAGUCAGUAGACCCAAUUACCCGGUCAAUGACCCUGUGACCUACUUUAGGGGUCCAUGAGACCUACUUUAGGGGAGCCUCUGGCCAAGAGGUGCAUGUUGCUAGAACUACCCUCAACAACCAAGGUAUUAGACCUCCUGCCACAACUAGGAAUUGACACUUAUCAUAAGUGGACGAGCCACCCAGAAAAUGAGGUCCAUCCCUUGUCCAACUAACAGUCGCACCACUCAGACGAACCUAACCUUGAGAACCGAGGGGAAACCAGGAAACCAGAGGUCUAGGGCUUCUAGACAUCAUAGCACUAAUGGUGGUAACUUCAGCCUAGACCAGCCAUAGGUCAAGGCGGCCAGUGUACGGCUGACCCACAGGAGAACCCCUUAGUCCAAGUCCUUGCCCAAGCUCUAGCAAGUCAAGGUUAUGAAAUCCAACCCAAGCGUCAAGGUUCGAACCAAGCUCCACUAGGAACCCAGAUUGGCCCACACAUAGGUCUGCCCUAGAGAUUGUUCAGCCAGUCCUUGGUGGCCCAACCAGUCCAAUCGAUCCAGUACGUCUAUCAACCUAUAGAGGCCCUUGUAAGUCCGCUCGUGUGUCGAGCCCACUAGUUUGCUCAGUUUUAUAAACUUGUAGCGUAGGCUUAAAUGUUCACCCCCGUUAAUCAGGUCCCUGAAGAUAUAGCUCUAGUUCCAAUAACCAAGCUGGCUAGUAUGAAAGGACAAAUGAAGGUGUUGAUCGGUACCCUAGCUAGGUUGGGGUGCAUGAUGCCCUCCCUCAAAACUGUACUAUAAUUAAGAUAGAAGGGGCACCUAGCUCUUGAAAGAAAAACUAUUGGAACUGUGUACCAUUAACAGACACACCCAUAUGCAUGUGUCCUUCCUUCAAGGGCACCUCGUCAUAACUAAGUCAUACCUAUAAGGGUUGUAGACAUACCAAGGUUGUGAACUCCUUUCAAGUUUUCUUAGCCUGCCGAUUAGGUCUACCCUUAUUUUUCCAUAGAAACAUAGGUCAAAUCUUUCUAACCCUUUUUAAAUGGUGUGUUAGUUGCCUUUUGAUUAGAUUUUUCAAAACCUUUAGCAUUUGGGCCUGGGCUAUGUCCACUCAACCUCUGCCUAUGGGCGACUUAAGGAUGGAUUUAGUGUACAGAGGGAAGUGUACACUAGCGGUGAUGUAUGCAUACAACUGUUCAUAAAAAUUGAUCAAAUUGUUUACUGCUAGGCCUAUAUCAUUCUGUUUUCUUCAGCCGAAUCGAUCUAUCAUCAAUUGAUUUGGAUCAAAAAUUAUGAUUUAGGGAUUUAUUCAUCGAGUUCUUUGGAAAAAAUAGAUAUUUUUUUAACCAAUCCACCUAAACAUGUAUUUCUCUUUCAUUUUUCAUUCAAAUCCAUUGAAACCUCGAACGAUUUGUUCUCGAUUCCACCCCUACAACAUUCUUAUUCUUAUAUGUUGGAUCAGAGGCUAGAGCUUAAGAGAUCUGGCAUGGAAAAUAUCAGUUCUAGUGAGGAAUUAGUUCUUUAGAAUAAACUCUUACAUGCCUGCCAUUCCAUCAAUUUUUCCCUCAUUUUUUCCCCAAAUCUAUUGAAACUUGGCUCCAUUUGAUCGUGAUUCAACCCUCUUCAAUCCAUAUUGCUUCGUUUGAUUAAUGCUAGAAAAUGAGAUCCUUGGCAUGGAAGUUUGCAGUGUUUUCCAUAUCCUAUGAUUUUUUAGGGCCAACAAAUCUCUUUUUUGCGAAAAUAUCUUAUUUUCUAUUAAUAUCAAUGUUCCUGAUUUUUUUUAGCAUUUUUCCCAAUUUCUGGUUUUUCUCCGGCAUAAAAGCUCAACUUGGUAACUAAGAAAACAAGAGAAAAUGACCUGUUUUUUCAAUUACUAUAUUUUCUCCUGUUCGGGAAGGGGGAAAAUCGUGGAAACGGGGAGCCCUGCAUUUCUUUGCGUUUCCGUGCUUUUCCCCAUUUUUGGGAAAACUGCAGCACACUGUAGCCCUGCAUUUCUUUACGUUUCCAUGCUUUUCCCCAUUUUUGCCAAGGGCUAUACUGCCGAUUUCUCAGGAAAAUGGGGAAACACGAAAUUGCCUUGUCCCCCUUUUAUUUCUCUAACCUCAUGAUCUCUCUCCCCUCUCAAUCUCUCUUUGCCCCAAGCUCUAGCCCAAGCUUGCUCAGGUUUUCACAUAACGGUCACCAAACAAGGGUUGUCAACUUCCACCCAGAGUUUUCUACUUCUACCUUUUUUUCAGGCUUGUAAUUUCUCAGCGAUACCAAACAUUACCCAAAAUGAUAUGGGUUUUGAUUCCCAAGAAACUCAUCUUGAGCUAGUGGCAAGUAGAUGGACUGAGUCAAUUUCUAAAACACGCAUGCAUGUAUAUAAAGCCGAUCCUAUCCUGAUUAUCACCAGAAAUAGGCCCAAGCCAGACCGGGCUGGUCUUGAUCUAAUUUUUGCACUAGGCUUAGGUGAGUAACACAAUUAGAGAGGGUCCCGAGCCAAAUGUUGCAAUUGAUUUUUGAGCCACCCCAGCUUUAGCCUAGAAAAAGAAUUCAAGCCGGGUUUUGACUAGAUUUGGCAAGCUCGGUCCCUUGACAGUCCCAAGUCCAAAGCAUUGCCCAACGAAUAUGAAUGCACGUAAGCAGAAUUCUGGGCAAGCAGGAGUGCUUGAUAUAUGCAGAAUUUACUUCUAUGUUUUGUCACAGUUUUAAAAAAAUUUGGUCUAAGCAUGCGCAUUUUGGCAUUUUAAUCCAACGGGCUAUGAUUUGUCAUAGUCCAUUGAAACAUAGUGUAAAUUCCUAUUGGUGGAGCUCCGUGUCUCUCUCUCUACUGCUCAUCAUUUUGUUUGACCAUGAUAACCUUGAUAGAUCAUUGCUUGCCGUAGUUCCUAGGAUUAUACAGUCUGCUUGGGUCGUUAUUUAACUAGGCCUAAACGUGCACGACUCCAUGUAUUUACCAGCAAAUUGAGCCCAUUGUUUGUAAUUUUAACACUCAUUUGCUCAGGUUCUAAAUCAAUUUCCAUGUCUUUCUGCGGGAGCAGAGGAUGUUUUGCAUAGAUGCAGUCUGUGUGUUCAUGAUCAAGGAAAUGUCGGUAAAAAACUCGAUACGUGAGGAUGCGUAUAUGCAGAAACAAGUUGUACUUGCAUAUAAAAGUAUGGUUGCUCGCACCUGCUGUGCAUAAUGCACACAUGAUAUGCUACUCUUUUUUUUUUUUUGACGAAUGUUAUGUGUGACUAUUUCAUUAGCUAUGAGGUAACUACCAUGCUAAAAACUUCUAUUAGUGUCUGUAUACAACUGACUCUUGUGCCUGCCCCCUUGUUUAACCAAGGUUAAGCCUCCUCAUCUUUCUCAUUAGAGAGAUCAUGGAUUUCAUUCAACAUCAAGGAUGAAGGGCACCUUUAUUCUCCCAAGCACUAUUUAAUGGCAUUCAUUGAUUCACCUUCAACCACCACAUGGUGAUGCUUAUUAUCUAUUAGCUUUAUAACCCGCAAUUAUGCCUCAUUUGCCGAAGCUUGCCACAUUGGCCCAGAGAAAGUAAACGGAAUCUUUCCACUGUUAUAUUUGCGAAGAGCCCCAACUCCUGCUAAGUUGGGGUUCCCAAACUUCCAUCAAAGUUCGAUUUAACGAUCCAUAUGAAUUGAGGCCCCAUCUACCUGUGAGCUUGAUUCUCUAUUUCAAUUGUUCUAUCGGCAAAGCUUAUUUGGUCUUCAUUGACACUGCAAUGUUCAACCUUAUAUCCCAAGACAUAACUUUCCUUAAACCUAGAAACCGCAGAAGUCCAACUCAUUUGGCAUUACUAAAUUGAAGUUUUAGUCCCAUCCCUGAUAUUUUUUGUGACUAACAGGUACAUGCCAAAAUCAACUCCCUUACAAACAUAAGAUGCGCAAGAAUUCACACUCAAACUUUCUUACGAGGAAACCGUCCCGAUCCAAACCAUAUCUUAUAUAUAAGCGCAUUCUUUUAUAGCUGGUUGCUCCGACACAAACUACCACCACUUCAUCAAAAGUGCCUCAUUCAUGGACUUCAAUUUUCUAAUUCAUCUACUCUUCGGUUUCGGAAGGGACGACAAACUCCAAUAAACUAGAUGGAAUUACCUUCUUCAAACCCACUCCAUAAAAAUUAAUCAAUCUUUUAUGGCUUCUUGAUGAUAAUGCUUGAAAAUCUGAACAAAGAGGAAUAGUAGACAAGCAAAUUUGAUAAAGCGG